rnacentral:lncRNA from 1 species
GGAAACCUUGUGAUAAAUGUCCUGCACAUGUUGAGCAAAUAGAUUACUUCACUAGUACGCUAGCCAAAUUUACUCAAGGUAGAGACAAUUUGAAUACUGUAUUAAAAUCCUCUGGCAGAGCAAUUUACAGAUAAGGAAUAGGUUAUAAAGCUCAAUCUAACAGAACCAAUUCAAAGAAGUUUAUUGAUCUAAGCAAACCUGCUAGAAAU